rnacentral:rRNA from 1 species
GGAGUAUGCUGCUUUAUACCUUCACGGGUGAAUUGCAGUAUACGGAGGCUUAAUACUCAGUAACUAGAGGGACCGCUGUUACUUUCUUUAAACCAGAGGAAGGUUGCGGCAAUAACAGGUCUGUGAUGCCCUUAGAUGUUCCGGGCUGCACACGUGAUACAUUGAUUACUUCAGUGAGUAUCUACGUAUUACUGCGCAGCAGUAUACGCGUGUUGUUUAUUGCUUCGGCAAUUUACUUUGCGCUAUACGCCGCCUUAACCUACUUCGAAAGUAUGUGGGUAACCAAUUAGAAGUAGUGAUUUCCCUCUUUAUAAGCACACUUAUAUGGAGCAUCAUCACCCGGCAUGCCUUGUGCAUGUUUUGUGUGUGUUGUUUGUCUACAUGUGCUUUUGUCAAUUCAUAGUGGGGACAGACCAUUGUUAAUUGUUGGUCUCGGUCUUAACUAGGAAUGCCUUGUACGAGUUUUUGGUUCAACAAACCACUCGGAAUACGUCCCUGCCCUUUGUACACACCGCCCGUCGCUCUUACCGAUGGAUUAUAUUAUGAGUUGGCAGGACCGUCCAGGAAAUGCCUGCGA